UACGUAGGGUGCAAGCGUUAUCCGGAUUUAUUGGGCGUAAAGUGUUGCGUAGGCUGAUUUGCGCAUUUUGUUUAAAAGACUAAGGCUCAACCUUAGUUUUGGGCAAAAUAUGGCAAAUCUUGAUGGUUUAAGAGGGUACUGGAACUUAACAUGUAGCAGUGAAAUGCGUUGAUAUGUUAAGGAACACCAAAGGCGUAGGCAGGUACCUGGGAAACUCAUGACGCUGAGGCACGACAGCUAGGGGAGCGAA
rnacentral:rRNA from 1 species